CUACCAGGGUUUCUAAUCCUGUUUGAUACCCACACUUUCGAGCCUCAGCGUCAGUUGCAGCCCGGACACCUGCCUUCGCGAUCGGAGUUCUUCGUGAUAUCUAAGCAUUUCACCGCUACACCACGAAUUCCGGCAUCCCUGUCUGCACUCAAGAUCGCCAGUUUCAACGGCAAUGUAUGGUUGAGCCACACCCUUUAACCGCUGACUUAACAAUCCGCCUACGCUCCCUUUAAACCCAAUAAAUCCGGAUAACGCCUGGACCUUCCGUAUUACCGCGGCUGCUGGCAC
rnacentral:rRNA from 1 species